AGCCUUCAUUAUAUUUGGCCUCAGGCCAGGACAGGGAUUUAGCUCAGUGGUUCCACCACUUAUCUUGCAAGUGCAAGGUCCAGAGUUCAACUGCCGGUACCAAAAACAAACAAUAUAUUUGGUCUCCACCCCCUCAACCUUGGAAAAGAACUGCAAGUGUAUAUAGCUGAGCUACUCUCAAUUAAAAUUCUCAAUUGGGAUUUUAUGAACACGUUUGCACUUGGUCUACCUCUUCAGUAAACUAAUGGUACUUCCUCUUCAUCACGAAGAUGGACGCCAAGGGGAACACCUUCUCACUUAGAAGAGGGACCUGGAAGGUUCAACGCUUUGGUACACAAACCCUGCAGAGCUAAGGUUUAUAGUCAUGAUCCUGAACCAUCCUAGGUUGCCAGAGAACCUGCGGAAAGCACUGGUGAACUGAGGUCAACUAGAUUUUUAUCUGAGCUCCAAACUGGGAAGCAGAAAACAGCAAAAAUGAAACAUCACAACUUGAUUGGAUCCUGCUUUUAGCACAAGAUUGUACGACCCACUGCUGCACAGGAUGCUUCCAGAUUAGAAGGCCAAAGAUAAGCAAGGAAAUGUGGCUGGCCCCCGUGUUCACAUUUAUUUCAAGAAGAAUAGGUUUUGCACACUAGGGACCAAGAAGCGCCCAGGGACACUGCUGGGAAGGGACCACUGGAGGGAAAACCUGCGGGGAUCGUGGAAUCUAUUCCAGAGGAAACUAACCAACAGUGAGCAUCUUCGACUAAAACUGACCUGGAUGUAAUGGUUGCAUGCAUCAUUCCUUUAAUUGAGCACAGUAAACUGGAUCAAAUUAUCUAUGCAGAAUAUAGUAACUUUUAAUUAUUUAUGCAAAAUAUAGUAACUUUUAAUUUCUACCAGUACAUUCUUUCUAAGUAAAUCAUUCUACAAUUAUUUUCCGUUGCCCUGAAUGCAGCAGUAAUAGCUUAAUAGUAUUUUCAGGUAUUUGCUUUUUGCAUAAUCUAACCUUGAAAUUACUUAAACAGCAGCCAAGUUUACUGAUGUUUUUAAUUCUGUGAAGAAAAAUAAAAACAGUUCUACUUUGAAGUGAUGAACAGAAACAGAAUUAUCUGUUUUUUAAAAAUUAAACAAACACAUAGAAAUGACACAUCAAUUC
rnacentral:lncRNA from 1 species